CCCUAGCUGACACUGGGAGAUGGUAUAGAACUUUCCAGCCAAGUUCAAAAAGUCAGCAGUUGGGAAGCAAAAGGUUCUUUGCUCCAUGAGCUGAGAGGAGAGAUAUCAUGAUUGCAACUCCUGCCUUCUUUCUAUCAGUUGGGGUCCAAAAGGUCUUACUCCAUCCGUUCAUUCUGACCUUGUGAGUAUCUACCAACCUCAUGUGUGUUUUUUGAAGACAACAUAUGGUAGGGUUUUGGAUUCUAAUCCAUUCUGCUAUUCAUCUACAUUU
rnacentral:lncRNA from 1 species